CGCCGGGCUCCGGGGUGCCCUCGCGCCGCCGCCGCCCCGCUAUUGGCCCGCGCCCUCGCGCCGCUGUUGCCAGAGCCCUUCCUCGAGGUUGGACCCAGCUGAUGACGGCACUUCUAUCCCUAUAAUCGCCGGGCGAACGCUGCGGGAAACCUCUCCUGGCAGCUGUCUCGCCCGGGAAGCUCCCGCCGAGUGAGGAGUCGCCGAGCCCCGGCCCUGCGUGGACGGCCUGGGAGACGCCGCGGAGCGGGAGCGCCGCUGCAGCCCGGCCGGCGCGAGCCCCGCGGGGACGAGCCCGCGGCCGUGA